UACGUAGGGGGGCAAGCGUUGUCCGGAAUCAUUGGACGAAAGCGCGUGUAGGCGGCCCGAUAAGUCCGCUGUGAAAGUCCAGGGCUCAACCCUGGAAUGCCGGUGGAUACUGUCGGGCUCGAGUCCGGAAAGAGGUGAGUGGGAAUUCCGUGGUGUAGCGGUGAAAUGCGCAGAUAUCAGGAGGAACACCAAUGGCGAAGGCAGCUCACUGGGACGAUACUGACGCUGAGACGCGAAAGCGUGGGGAGCAAACAGG
rnacentral:rRNA from 1 species